GCGAACGGGUGAGUAACACGUGGGCAAUCUGCCCUUCACUCUGGGACAAGCCCUGGAAACGGGGUCUAAUACCGGAUAAUACUUUCCCUCUCAUGGGGGAAGGUUAAAAGCUCCGGCGGUGAAGGAUGAGCCCGCGGCCUAUCAGCUAGUUGGUGGGGUAAUGGCCUACCAAGGCGACGACGGGUAGCCGGCCUGAGAGGGCGACCGGCCACACUGGGACUGAGACACGGCCCAGACUCCUACGGGAGGCAGCAGUGGGGAAUAUUGCACAAUGGGCGAAAGCCUGAUGCAGCGACGCCGCGUGAGGGAUGACGGCCUUCGGGUUGUAAACCUCUUUCAGCAGGGAAGAAGCGAAAGUGACGGUACCUGCAGAAGAAGCGCCGGCUAACUACGUGCCAGCAGCCGCGGUAAUACGUAGGGCGCAAGCGUUGUCCGGAAUUAUUGGGCGUAAAGAGCUCGUAGGCGGCUUGUUGCGUCGGUUGUGAAAGCCCGGGGCUUAACCCCGGGUCUGCAGUCGAUACGGGCAGGCUAGAGUGUGGUAGGGGAGAUCGGAAUUCCUGGUGUAGCGGUGAAAUGCGCAGAUAUCAGGAGGAACACCGGUGGCGAAGGCGGAUCUCUGGGCCAUUACUGACGCUGAGGAGCGAAAGCGUGGGGAGCGAACAGGAUUAGAUACCCUGGUAGUCCA
rnacentral:rRNA from 2 species